AUUUAAUUAGCUGAUUCUCAAAGCACUUUACUGAAGAUAAAGAGGACUA
rnacentral:tRNA from 1 species